ACGGGAAACCUUUUAUUGAAGCUUCGGCAGAUUUAGAUUGUUUCUAGUGGCGGACGGGUGAGUAACGCGUGGGUAACCUGCCUUAUACAGGGGGAUAACAGUCAGAAAUGACUGCUAAUACCGCAUAAGCGCACAGAGCUGCAUGGCUCAGUGUGAAAAACUCCGGUGGUAUAAGAUGGACCCGCGUUGGAUUAGCUGGUUGGUGAGGUAACGGCCCACCAAGGCGACGAUCCAUAGCCGGCCUGAGAGGGUGAACGGCCACAUUGGGACUGAGACACGGCCCAGACUCCUACGGGAGGCAGCAGUGGGGAAUAUUGCACAAUGGGGGAAACCCUGAUGCAGCGACGCCGCGUGAAGGAAGAAGUAUCUCGGUAUGUAAACUUCUAUCAGCAGGGAAGAAAAUGACGGUACCUGACUAAGAAGCCCCGGCUAACUACGUGCCAGCAGCCGCGGUAAUACGUAGGGGGCAAGCGUUAUCCGGAUUUACUGGGUGUAAAGGGAGCGUAGACGGAUGGACAAGUCUGAUGUGAAAGGCUGGGGCUCAACCCCGGGACUGCAUUGGAAACUGCCCGUCUUGAGUGCCGGAGAGGUAAGCGGAAUUCCUAGUGUAGCGGUGAAAUGCGUAGAUAUUAGGAGGAACACCAGUGGCGAAGG
rnacentral:rRNA from 1 species